AUCCAAGGUGAGUCCCUCUCCAAGGGGCUGACUAGUGCCCCUCUUAGGACAGUAGCCACCUACAUAGCCAUACUUAGGCUCCUUCUGGAUAGACUGUGUCCUCUUAUUCACAUGCCUGAAAUUGUUAUACAUUU
rnacentral:snoRNA from 1 species